rnacentral:rRNA from 1 species
AACGCUGGCGGCGUGCCUAACACAUGCAAGUCGAACGAGAAAGUGGAGCAAUCCAUGAGUACAGUGGCGAACGGGUGAGUAACACGUGACUAACCUGCCUUCGAGUGGGGGAUAACCUCGGGAAACCGGGGCUAAUACCGCAUAACAUCCUCAGGGUGCAAUUCCCAGGGGACCAAAGGCGUAAGACGCUUGAAGAGGGGGUCGCGGCUGAUUAGCUAGUUGGUGAGGUAAUGGCUCACCAAGGCGAAGAUCGGUAGCCGGCCUGAGAGGGCGCACGGCCACACUGGAACUGAAACACGGUCCAGACUCCUACGGGAGGCAGCAGUGGGGAAUUUUGCGCAAUGGGGGAAACCCUGACGCAGCAACGCCGCGUGGAGGAUGAAGCCCCUUGGGGCGUAAACUCCUUUCGAUCGGGACGAUUAUGACGGUACCGGAUGAAGAAGCACCGGCUAACUCUGUGCCAGCAGCCGCGGUAAUACAGAGGGUGCGAGCGUUGUUCGGAAUUAUUGGGCGUAAAGGGCGCGUAGGCGGUGCGGCAAGUCACCUGUGAAACCUCUGGGCUUAACCCAGAGCCUGCAGGCGAAACUGCCGUGCUGGAGUGUGGGAGAGGUGCGUGGAAUUCCCGGUGUAGC